CCCCCCCCCGAGCACAGGCUGAAACACGAGGGUGUGGGUAACAAACAGGAUUAGAGACCCUGGUAGUCCACACUGUAAACGAUGAAGAAAAUGUUAAUGCAACCCCGAAAGGUAGUAAUCUUCCGCCUGAGUAGUACGAUCGCAAGAUUAAAAUUCCAAAAAUUUGGCUGUUCACUGUUUCGAUUAGAGGAGCGUGUAGUUUAAUUCGAUAAACCGCGAGAUACCUUACCCAAACUUGAAUCACCCAUCCGAGAUUGAAUGGUCUCGGGAGGGUAGACCGGUAUUGCAUGGCCGUCGUCAGUUCGUGUAUGAAACCUUUAACGGACCUAACCCGGGGGGUUAGCCGCGGAUGAAGUCAGGUCUUAUGAUCCCUAUGUUUGGGGAUAAUAUGCGCUACAUUUUCUUAUACAAUGGGAAACCUGAAAGGUGAAACCCAAAAGUAGGAGUUCGGUAGGUCAUUGUAAGAUGACCGAAAGUUGAAUUUAAUAGUAAUCGGAAAGUAGAGCGUUCCGGUGAAAUGAUCUAAGUGUUAGCACAAAUCGCCCGUCACCUUAACUUAGAACGAUAGUACGGACGCAGCCCUGCCAGCUCGCAAUGUCGAGGCCCCCCCCUCGA
rnacentral:rRNA from 1 species